rnacentral:rRNA from 1 species
UACGGAGGGGACUAGCGUUGUUCGGAAUUACUGGGCGUAAAGCGCACGUAGGCGGAUUUCUAAGUCAGGGGUGAAAUCCUGGAGCUCAACUCCAGAACUGCCUUUGAUACUGGGAAUCUCGAGUCCGGGAGAGGUGAGUGGAACUGCGAGUGUAGAGGUGAAAUUCGUAGAUAUUCGCAAGAACACCAGUGGCGAAGGCGGCAUCCUGGACCAACACUGACGCUGAGUGAGCGAAAGCCAGGGGAGCAAACGGG